AUAUCAAUAAGCGGAGGAAAAGAAACUAACAAGGAUUCCCCUAGUAACGGCGAGUGAAGUGGGAAGAGCUCAAAUUUGUAAUCUGGCACUUUCAGUGUCCGAGUUGUAAUCUCUAGAAGUGUUUUCCGUGCCAUACUGCAUAUAAGUCUCUUGGAACAGAGCGUCAUAGUGGUGAGAACCCCGUAUUUGAUGCAGAUGUUGGUACUCUGUGAUACACUUUCGACGAGUCGAGUUGUUUGGGAAUGCGAGCUCAAAUUGGGUGGUAAAUUCCAUCUAAAGCUAAAUAUUGGCGAGAGACCGAUAGCGCACAAGUA
rnacentral:rRNA from 1 species